UACGUAGGGGGCAAGCGUUGUCCGGAAUUAUUGGGCGUAAAGAGCUCGUAGGCGGUCUGUCGCGUCGGAUGUGAAAAUCCAGGGCUCAACCCUGGACCUGCAUUCGAUACGGGCAGACUAGAGUUCGGUAGGGGAGACGUGGAAUUCCUGGUGUAGCGGUGAAAUGCGCAGAUAUCAGGAGGAACACCGGUGGCGAAGGCGGGCAC
rnacentral:rRNA from 1 species